rnacentral:rRNA from 1 species
GACGAACGCUGGCGGCGUGCUUAACACAUGCAAGUCGAACGGAAAGGCCCUGCUUUUGUGUGGUGCUCGAGUGGCGAACGGGUGAGUAACACGAGAGUAACCUGCCCUUGACUUUGGGAUAACUUCAGGAAACUGGGUCUAAUACCGGAUAGGAGCUCCUGCUGCAUUGUGGGGGUUGGAAAGUUUCGGCGGUUGGGGAUGGACGCGCGGCUUAUCAGCUUGUUGGUGGGGUGGUGGCUUGCCAAGGCUUUGACGGGUAGCCGGCCUGAGAGGGUGACCGGCGACACUGGGACAGAGAUACGGCCCAGACUCCUACGGGAGGCAGAAGAGGGGAAUAUUGCACAAUGGGCGGAAGCCUGAUGCAGCAACGCCGCGUGCGGGAUAACGGCCUUCGGGUUGUAAACCGCUUUCGCCUGUGACGAAGCGUGAGUGACGGUAAUGGGUAAAGAAGCACCGGCUAACUACGUG